rnacentral:rRNA from 1 species
UACAGAGGUCUCAAGCGUUGUUCGGAUUCAUUGGGCGUAAAGGGUGCGUAGGUGGCGCCGUAAGUCGGGUGUGAAAUUUCGGAGCUUAGCUCCGAAACUGCAUUCGAUACUGUGGUGCUCGAGGACUGGAGAGGAGACUGGAAUUCCGUGGUGUAGCGGUGAAAUGCGCAGAUAUCAGGAGGAACACCGGUGGCGAAGGCGGGAUCUCUGGGCCGAUGACUGACGCUGAGGAGCGAAAGCGUGGGGAGC